GGGGAUAUAGCUCAUCUGGUAGAGCGCUUGAAUGGCAUUCAAGAGGUGGACGGUUCGAGUCCGUUUAUCUCCACCA
rnacentral:tRNA from 5 species